rnacentral:rRNA from 1 species
AGCGAACGCUGGCGGCAGGCCUAACACAUGCAAGUCGAACGAACCUUUCGGGGUUAGUGGCGGACGGGUGAGUAACACGUGGGAACGUGCCUUUAGGUUCGGAAUAACUCAGGGAAACUUGUGCUAAUACCGAAUGUGCCCUUCGGGGGAAAGAUUAAUCGCCUUUAGAGCGGCCCGCGUCUGAUUAGCUAUUUGGUUGAGGUAAUGGCUCACCAAGGCGACGAUCAGUAGCUGGUCUGAGAGGAUGACCAGCCACAUUGGGACUGAGACACGGCCCAAACUCCUCCGGGAGGCAGCAGUGGGGAAUCUGGCGCAAUGGCGAAAGCCUGACGCAGCCAUGCCGCGUGAAUGAUGAAGGUCUUAGGAUUGUAAAAUUCUUUCACCGGGGACGAUAAUGACGGUACCCGGAGAAGAAGCCCCGGCUAACUUCGUG